rnacentral:rRNA from 1 species
UACGAAGGGGGCUAGCGUUGCUCGGAAUUACUGGGCGUAAAGGGCGCGUAGGCGGAUAGUUUAGUCAGAGGUCAAAGCCCAGGGCUCAACCUUGGAACUGCCUUUGAUACUGGCUAUCUUGAGUACGGGAGAGGUGUGUGGAACUCCGAGUGUAGAGGUGAAAUUCGUAGAUAUUCGGAAGAACACCAGUGGCGAAGGCGACACACUGGCCCGUUACUGACGCUGAGGCGCGAAAGCGUGGGGAGCAAACAGG